CCUACGGGAGGCAGCAGUGGGGAAUAUUGCGCAAUGGGCGAAAGCCUGACGCAGCGACGCCGCGUGAGGGAUGAAGGUCUUCGGAUCGUAAACCUCUGUCAGCAGGGAAGAACGGUCACUGUGCUAAUCAGCAGUGAAUUGACGGUACCUGCAAAGGAAGCACCGGCUAACUCCGUGCCAGCAGCCGCGGUAAUACGGAGGGUGCGAGCGUUAAUCGGAAUUACUGGGCGGAAAGCGCUCGUAGGCGGUAUGUCAAGUCACGGGUGAAAUCCCCGCGCUCAACGCGGGAACUGCCUUUGAAACUGGCAAGCUGGAGUGUGGGAGAGGAUGGUGGAAUUCCAGGUGUAGGAGUGAAAUCCGUAGAUAUCUGGAGGAACACCGGUGGCGAAGGCGACUAUCUGGCACAUAACUGACGCUGAGGAGCGAAAGCGUGGGUAGCAAACAGGAUUAGAUACCCCAGUAGUC
rnacentral:rRNA from 1 species